UACGUAGGGUCCGAGCGUUGUCCGGAAUUAUUGGGCGUAAAGGGCUCGUAGGCGGUUAGUCACGUCGGGAGUGAAAACUCAGGGCUCAACCCUGAGCGUGCUUCCGAUACGGGCUGACUAGAGGUAUGCAGGGGAGAACGGAAUUCCUGGUGUAGCGGUGGAAUGCGCAGAUAUCAGGAGGAACACCGGUGGCGAAGGCGGUUCUCUGGGCAUUACCUGACGCUGAGGAGCGAAAGCAUGGGGAGCGAACAGG
rnacentral:rRNA from 2 species